rnacentral:rRNA from 1 species
UACUGCUAUCGAGUCCGAUUAGCCAUGCGAGUCGAAUGUAGCAAUACAUGGCGAACUGCUCAGUAACACGUGACAACCUACCCUCAGAUCUGGGAUAAACUGGGAAACUGGGUAUAAUACCGGAUAGGUCUUGGAUGCUGGAAUGCACCGAGGCCCAAAGCUCCGGGCGUCUGAGGAUGGGUCUGCGGCCUAUCAGGGUGGUAGUGGGUGUAAAGUACCUACUAGCCUACGACGGGUACGGGUCGUGAGAGCGAGAGCCCGGAGAUGGAUUCUGAGACACGAAUCCAGGCCCUACGGGGUGCAGCAGGCGCGAAAACUUUACAAUGCCGGCAACGGCGAUAAGGGGACCUCGAGUGCCAGGAUACAAUCCUGGCUGUCGUAAUGCCUAAAAAGCAUUAUAUAGCAAGGGCCGGGCAAGACCGGUGCCAGCCGCCGCGGUAACACCGGCGGCUCGAGUGGUAACCGCUAUUAUUGGGUCUAAAGGGUCUGUAGCCGGCCUGGUAAGUCUUUUGGGAAAUCCGGCAGCUCAACUGUCGGGCUAUCAGAGGAUACUGCUAGGCUCGAGACCGGGAGAGGUGAGAGGUACUUCAUGGGUAGGGGUGAAGUCUUGUAAUCCUUGAAGGACCACCAGUGGCGAAGGCGUCUCACCAGAACGGAUCUGACGGCAAGGGACGAAAGCUAGGGGCACGAACCGGAUUAGAUACCCGGGUAGUCCUAGCCGUAAACGAUACUCGCUAGGUGUCGGCCACGGCGCGACCGUGGUCGGUGCCGUAGGGAAGCCGUGAAGCGAGCCACCUGGGAAGUACGGCCGCAAGGCUGAAACUUAAAGGAAUUGGCGGGGGAGCACUACAACGGGUGGAGCCUGCGGUUUAAUUGGAGUCAACGCCGGA